rnacentral:rRNA from 1 species
UGGGCGGGCGGGCCUAACACAUGCAAGUCGAACGGUAACAGGAAAUAGCUUGCUAUUUUGCUGACGAGUGGCGGACGGGUGAGUAAUGCUUGGGAAUUUGCCUUGUUGCGGGGGACAACAGUUGGAAACAACUGCUAAUACCGCAUAAUGUCUACGGACCAAAGGUGGCCUCUAUUUAUAUGCUAUCGCGACAAGAUGAGCCCAAGUGGGAUUAGCUAGUUGGUAAGGUAAUGGCUUACCAAGGCGUCGAUCCCUAGCUGGUCUUAGAGGAUGACCAGCCACACUGGAACUGAGACACGGUCCAGACUCCUACGGGAGGCAGCAGUGGGGAAUAUUGCACAAUGGAGGAAACUCUGAUGCAGCCAUGCCGCGUGUGUGAAGAAGGCUUUCGGGUUGUAAAGCACUUUCAGCGAGGAGGAAAGGGUAAUGGUUAAUAUCCAUUACCUGUGACGUUACUCGCAGAAGAAGCACCGGCUAACUCCGUGCCAGCAGCCGCGGUAAC